ACCGCAUAAUACCUAAGGGUCAAAGUGGGGGAUCUCGGACCUCACGCCAGAAGAGGAGCCUGCGUUGGAUAGUUAGUUGGUGGGGUAAUGGCCUACCAAGGCGACGAUCUAUAGCUGGUCUGAGAGGACGAUCAGCCACACUGGAACUGAGGCACGGUCCAG
rnacentral:rRNA from 1 species